rnacentral:rRNA from 1 species
AUUGAACGCUGGCGGCAUGCUUUACACAUGCAAGUCGAACGGUAACAGGUUAAGCUGACGAGUGGCGAACGGGUGAGUAAUGCAUCGGAACGUGCCCGAUCGUGGGGGAUAACGCAGCGAAAGCUGCGCUAAUACCGCAUACGAUCUGAGGAUGAAAGCGGGGGACCGUAAGGCCUCGCGCGAUCGGAGCGGCCGAUGUCAGAUUAGGUAGUUGGUGGGGUAAAGGCCCACCAAGCCUACGAUCUGUAGCUGGUCUGAGAAGACGACCAGCCACACUGGGACUGAGACACGGCCCAGACUCCUACGGGAGGCAGCAGUGGGGAAUUUUGGACAAUGGGCGAAAGCCUGAUCCAGCAAUGCCGCGUGCAGGAAGAAGGCCUUCGGGUUGUAAACUGCUUUUGUACGGAGCGAAAAGGUCCUUUCUAAUACAAGGGGCUCAUGACGGUACCGUAAGAAUAAGCACCGGCUAACUACGUGCCAGCCGCCGCGGUAAUAC